CAAGUCGAACGGGGAUGCAUUAAGAAGGAGUGCUUGCAUUCCGGAAGGAUGCAUCUUAGUGGCGGACGGGUGAGUAACGCGUGGGUAACCUGCCCCAUACCGGGGGAUACCACCUGGAAACAGGUGCUAAUACCGCAUAAGCGCACGGGAGCGCAUGCUCCUGUGUGAAAAACUCCGGUGGUAUGGGAUGGACCCGCGUCUGAUUAGCCAGUUGGCAGGGUAACGGCCUACCAAAGCGACGAUCAGUAGCCGGCCUGAGAGGGUGGACGGCCACAUUGGGACUGAGACACGGCCCAAACUCCUACGGGAGGCAGCAGUGGGGAAUAUUGCACAAUGGGGGAAACCCUGAUGCAGCGACGCCGCGUGAGUGAAGAAGUAUUUCGGUAUGUAAAGCUCUAUCAGCAGGAACGAGACAAGACGGUACCUGACUAAGAAGCCCCGGCUAACUACGUGCCAGCAGCCGCGGUAAUACGUAGGGGGCAAGCGUUAUCCGGAAUCACUGGGUGUAAAGGGAGCGUAGACGGCUGAGCAAGCCUGAAGUGAAAGGCGGGGGCCCAACCCCUGGACUGCUUUGGGAACUGUACGGCUGGAGUGCAGGAGAGGUAAGUGGAAUUCCUAGUGUAGCGGUGAAAUGCGUAGAUAUUAGGAGGAACACCAGUGGCGAAGGCGGCUUACUGGACUGUAACUGACGUUG
rnacentral:rRNA from 1 species